UACGGAGGGUGCGAGCGUUGUCCGGAAUCACUGGGCGUAAAGGGCGCGUAGGCGGUGACUUAAGCGUGUGGUGAAAGCCCGGGGCUCAACCCCGGGUCUGCCGUGCGAACUGGGUCACUUGAGCACUGUAGAGGCAGGUGGAAUUCCGGGUGUAGCGGUGGAAUGCGUAGAGAUCCGGAAGAACACCAGUGGCGAAGGCGGCCUGCUGGGCAGUAGCUGACGCUGAGGCGCGACAGCGUGGGGAGCAAACAGG
rnacentral:rRNA from 1 species